UACGAAGGGUGCAAGCGUUACUCGGAAUUACUGGGCGUAAAGGGUGCGUAGGUGGUUUGUUAAGUCUGCUGUGAAAUCCCCGGGCUCAACCUGGGAAUGGCAGUGGAUACUGGCAAGCUAGAGUGCGGAAGAGGCGAGUGGAAUUCCCGGUGUAGCGGUGAAAUGCGCAGAUAUCGGGAGGAAUACCGGUGGCGAAGGCGGCAUCCUGGACCGGCAUUGACGCUGAGGAGCGAAAGCUAGGGGAGCAAACGGG
rnacentral:rRNA from 1 species